rnacentral:rRNA from 1 species
AGAGUUUGAUCCUGGCUCAGGAUGAACGCUAGCGACAGGCCUAACACAUGCAAGUCGAGGGGCAGCGCGUUGGUAGCAAUACCGAUGGCGGCGACCGGCGCACGGGUGCGUAACAGGUGUGCAAUCUGUCCAUAACCGGGGAAUAGCCCACCGAAAGGUGAAUUAAAGCUCCAUGUGAGUUGAGAAGGCAUCUUCUUAACUUAAAACGUAAGGGUUAUGGGUGAGCACGCUUCUGAUUAGAUAGUUGGUGAGGUAACGGCUCACCAAGUCGACGAUCAGUAGGGGUUCUGAGAGGAAGGUCCCCCACAUUGGAACUGAGACACGGUCCAAACUCCUACGGGAGGCAGCAGUGAGGAAUAUUGGUCAAUGGGCGAGAGCCUGAACCAGCCAAGUCGCGUGAAGGAUGAAGGUUCUAUGGAUUGUAAACUUCUUUUGUCUGAGGGUAAAGUGAGAGUCGUGACUCUUAUUGCAAGUAUCAGACGAAUAAGCAUCGGCUAACUCCGUGCCAGCAGCCGCGGAAAUACGGAGGAUGCGAGCGUUAUCCGGAUUUAUUGGGUUUAAAGGGUGCGCAGGCGGCACGUUAAGUCAGCGGUGAAAUGUCGGGGCUCAACCCGGGCACUGCCGUUGAAACUGGCGAGCUUGAGUACGGAUGAAGUUGGCGGAAUGUGAUGUGUAGCGGUGAAAAUGCUUAGAUAUGUCACAGAACACCCGAUUUGCGAAGGCAGCUGACUAAUCCGCAACUGACGCUCAGGCACGAAAGCGUGGGGAUCGAACAGGAUUAGAUACCUUGGUAUUCCACCCAGAAAACGAUGAAGGCUACCUAUUAGCGAUAGACAGUUAGUGGCUAAGGGGAACCGAUAAGCCUUCCACCUGGGGAGUACGCCGGCAACGGUGAAACUCAAAGGAAUUGACGGGGGCCCGCACAAGCGGAGGAACAUGUGGUUUAAUUCGAUGAUACGCGAGGAACCUUACCCGGGCUUGAAAGUUAGCGACGGACCUGGAAACAGGUCUUCCCGCAAGGGCGCGAAACUAGGUGCUGCAUGGUAGUCGUCAGCUCGUGCCGUGAGGUGUCGGCUCAAGUGCCAUAACGAGCGCAACCCUUGUCAUCAGUUGCCAUCAUUAAGUUGGGGACUCUGGUGAGACUGCCGCCGCAAGGUGAGAGGAAGGGGGGGAUGACGUCAAAUCAGCACGGCCCUUACGUCCGGGGCGACACACGUGUUACAAUGGAUGGUACAGAGGGCAGCGAAGGGGCGACCCGGAGCGAAUCUCAGAAAGCCCCUCUCAGUUCGGAUCGGAGUCUGCAACUCGACUCCGUGAAGCUGGAUUCGCUAGUAAUCGCGCAUCAGCCAUGGCGCGGUGAAUACGUUCCCGGGCCUUGCACUCACCGCCCGUCA